GGAGAAAAGGGCUUUUCUCCCAAUGGGUGUGGCCGACUUUGGCUGAUCACCGAGCACCAGGAUCCCGCUUGCCUCAGCGGCCCAUCAUUAAACCUCACCUUUCAGGGUGGUCCUCUCGACGAGCACCGUGUGCAUCUGGGGGUCGGAGAGAAAUUUUUUCAUCUGCUCCACCGCACUCUUCUCUUCGAAGGCGGUCUCCAGGGCAGCCGGCGCCUCGCCGCCAUCUUCCAGUAACAGCGGUACCAGCUUGCGAAUGUGUUUCUGCAAAAGCGACACAUCGGCCACAUUUUGCACUGUCACUUCCAGGCCGGUCGUGCCAUCCUCGCCACCGCCACCGCCACUUUCAGACAUGGCGAGGAGCCGCUACGAUCUACACGAGCAACAGCAACAACGAGACUGACUGAGACUGACCGAAGCUGACUGAGACUGAGCGACCAGCUACGUCACGCGUCACUGCAGGGAUGAUGUAAUGCUGUGCCGCAUUGCCUGCUGGGUGUUGUAGUUCACCCCUAGCGGCCGAUAAUGUUCAGUCGUCGCCACCACUGCCGACUUAAACUACAACUUCCAGGAUCCGCCGCACUAACAUUAGGAAUGAGGAACAUCCCCGAGGGAAAUCUUGCGACUGACUGGGAUUUGUCACGAGGACCGGACACUAAUGACAUGGAGUUUUCCGCUGCAUCUACAAAAUUGCAGGGUUACGCGAUUGCUACACCAAUCAAUAUUAUUUGAAUCUCAUGAGUCGUGACUGCACAGAAAUCUGUACGCUGAAAAUCCUCCCACAGCUGGACCAUGUCAUCUACCAAGUAGAAGAUUUCGGGAAGCUCUUAGUGUGUCAUUCUGCUUUUUCAGGACUUAUAAUAUUAAUGCAGAAAACUUGCCAUUUUCUGAAAUUUGGCUUUGACUCAGUUUACUCUGAACUUCAGUUAUGUGUUUGCAUUUGUACAUCAUUUUAACAUUCAUUGCUGCCAUCGUUAUGAUGUUGCACUGUCUUCUUAGUUACUUGUGUUUUUGCGGUCUGUCUUGGCCUUAGGAACCAGACGUUGAGCAUGUGCCUGCCUAAUAUUCCUUCGUCCUACAUACUAAAAUGCUGUAAUAUUUCUUAAUAAGUAAACCUGCUGGUUUGUUGCAGCAACAAUCCUGGCUGCACCUUAAGCAGGAAAUUGUUGUUGAUUCUGCUGCUAUGAUUUUAUUACUUGAGGAUGGACACAAGUAUGAAGACUUUUUUUUCUUGCUCAAAAGAUCCUUCCUAACUCAAUGAGCCUCUCUAACAGUUCCUCUUCAGAAAAGUCACUUAUUUCCUUUUGUUGUAUCAUCUUUUGAUUAACUGGUCAACAGACUCACAAGUUGCUGUCUCUUACAAGAACUCGAGCAUGUUACUCCUUAAGUUCUUACCUUGGGCAGGUCUUCAAGAAAGUUCCAGUUUUUUUUCCCCUUUGACCAUCUUUGGAAAGAUUAUUAAUUGUGCAAAACACCUUGUCAAUGCCAAACAAGACUUGGAGUUCUCAGGAUUGUAUAAAAUUUGGAUCUGUGCUAUAGAACUAUGGAGUUUGAAUAGUUACAAUUCAGUAAAUGUGUCACUGGAUACUCAAUCCAUAAAUCGUUCAAACCUCAAUUCUCCUUUAUGGAUUACUUGUUUUGAGAAGAAUGCAGCACAGUAUUAGUUUAUAGCUUCUCUCCUCUAUUUGCCUCGGUUUACCUUUAUUUCCCCCCCAUUGC